GCGCCAACUGGCGGGAGGGUUCGAGUUCGGCCUUUCCCAAACUUGGGCCACCGGGGCGGGAGCGUGGCCGUCCCCGCGGUGACGCGCGCGCUGGCGCGGCGUGUGAUUGGAGAGUCGGGCGGGGGCGGGACCGAAGGGACGCGGCAGGCGGCGGCGGUGCCGGGAGCCGGGGCCGGGAGUGAGGCGCAGCGGCCGCCGCGGCAACAAGUGCUGGAGCUGAGGCGAGCCGGAGCCGCCCAGACCCCGCCGGGCCGCCCGUCCGCGCAUUGCGCAUGGAGCGAGAGCGGCGGCGGUCGCGGGGCUGAGCCGCAAGCGCGGCUGGGACGUGGAUGCGGCCGCGGUCUCCCGCCCCGCCCCGCCGAGCUGGAGGUGUCCCUAGACAAGAUAUGAGAAAUGAGUGUGGGGCGUCGAAGAGUAAA